rnacentral:rRNA from 1 species
GGAAGUAAAAGUCGUAACAAGGUUUCCGUAGGUGAACCUGCGGAAGGAUCAUUAACGAAUAAACUUGGUGGAUUGUCGCUGGCUCUCUAGGGAGCAUGUGCACGUCUGUCAUCUUUAUCUUUCCACCUGUGCACCUUUUGUAGACCUGGAGAAAACCUAAUUCUGAGGAAACUCAGGCGUGAGGAGUUGCAGGCUUUCGCAAGUCAGCUCUCCUUGAGUAUCCAGGUCUAUGUUUUUCAUAUACACCAAUGAAAUGUAUUAGAAUGUAUACAAUGGGUCUUUGUACCUAUAAUAAAACUAUACAACUUUCAGCAACGGAUCUCUUGGCUCUCGCAUCGAUGAAGAACGCAGCGAAAUGCGAUAAGUAAUGUGAAUUGCAGAAUUCAGUGAAUCAUCGAAUCUUUGAACGCAUCUUGCGCUCCUUGGUAUUCCGAGGAGCAUGCCUGUUUGAGUGUCAUUAAAUUCUCAACUUUACCGGCUUUGCUGCUGGUAAGGCUUGGAUGUGGGGGUUUUUGCAGGCUUUCACAAGUCAGCUCCCCUGAAAUGCAUUAGCAGUACCCUUGUGGUAAACGGCUAUUGGUGUGAUAAUUAUCUACGCCAUUCGGUCGCCCACAUAUUAUAAAAGGGUUAUGCUGCUUCUAACAGUCCAUUGACUUGGACAAUACAAUGACAAUUUUGGGCCUCAAUCAGGUAGGACUACCCGCUGAACUUAAGCAUAUCAAUAAGCCGGA